UAAAUACUCCCUCCGUACCAAAAUUCAUGUCUUAUAUUUGUCUAGAUACGGAUGUAUCUGACACUAAAAUGUAACUAGAUACAUCCGUAUUUAGACAAAUCAAAGACAAAAAUUUUGGGAUGGUGGGAGUAUAAG
rnacentral:pre_miRNA from 1 species